CCUCCUGUACCUCGCCAGGUAUUCGAUGGUCAGCCAAUGACAAUGCAGGUAGGAAUUUCAAACUGGAAGAGAGGUUUUUCUCUCUUCUGGGCUUGAGGCAGACCAGUCUUUUUCCAAGACUGAGGGAGAUUGGAGAAAACAGACUUCUUAAAAUGUGUGGUGGUGAAUUGAAUCAAGACUACGUACCAUGCAUUGGAAUUAAAGGUGUGUAAACUCAAAAGAAGCAGCAUCCUAUUCACUAGUUAUUGGACUCGAGCCUCCUUUAACUUCGAAAACUGAAAAUGAGGUUGCUAUGGGAACUGCUCAUGCUGCAAUCAUUCAUGUUGGGCCUUGCAGGUAAAGUGUCACUUUAAAACUUUUUGAUUUAAAAAUGUCUCUGUAUUUUGCACUAAUUCAAAAGUACAGCGAGUUUUGUAUGCCCGUGAUAAAAGUUAG